rnacentral:rRNA from 1 species
GUUAGGAAUAUUGGACAAUGGGCGAAAGCCUGAUCCAGCCAUGCCGCGUGAACGAUGAAGGCCUUCGGGUUGUAAAGUUCUUUAGCCGAUGAUUAUAAUGACUGUAGUCGGAAAAUAAGCCACGGCUAACUUCGUGCCAGCAGCCGCGGUAAUACGAAGGGGGCGAGCGUUAUUCGGAAUCACUGGGCGUAAAGCGUGCGUAGGCGGUUUUGUAAGUUAGGAGUGAAAGCCCAGGGCUCAACCUUGGAAUUGCUCUUAAAACUGCAAGGCUCGAAUCUCGGAGAGGAUAGCGGAAUUUCCAGUGUAGCAGUGAAAUGCGUAGAUAUUGGAAGGAACACCAGUGGCGUAAGCGGCUAUCUGGACGAGUAUUGACGCUGAGGCACGAAAGCGUGGGGAUCAAACAGGAUUAGAAACCCCUGUAGUCC